rnacentral:lncRNA from 1 species
CGCUCUAACUUAACCAAGAUAAGUAAAUAGGUGUAAAUAGGAAAGAUGGUAGAAUCGAAUAAGAACAAUAUUAAAGGUAAGAUAACAGUGAGUGAUAAUAUGGGAAUAGAGAAUAGAACAAUUCUAGUAUAUGGGCGAUGGUAGCAGAAUAGAGAGGAUAACUAUAGUUUCUCUACUUCAAAGGGGUAUGUCUAUGUCUGGGACGAACCACGUGAUAAGAGUACACCACAAAGGAUGCUUAUCCUUAGGCCGAUAAACCCUACCCGUCCUGCUAAUGAGAGGUGGACUACAGAGGACCAACGUAACUGUCACCUAUGCGGCCUACCACACGAUCCAGCCUGACAGGGGAUAUCCACAAGUAAUCUAGGUCUAAGCACCACGCUUACACCUAUACUACAACUCUAACCUAUAGGGUCCUAUAGAUUAGAAGUACUCAAAAGAGUUGUGAACCAGAACAUACAUGAUUAGUAAUUGCAUAAUGAAUUAGAAGUAGAUUAUCAGAGUCAUACCAUGAGCAAGCUUGAUUAGAGCUUGAUCAUGACGAAGUACAACCGAAGGAAGAACCGACAGGCCGGCCUCUCCUCUAAUCCUCCUUCGCUCUCCAUCUCACUACUAUCUAGAUCUACUCUAGUUUAGAGAAGAGAGGAGAGCUCUCAUAGGUGCUCUGUCUAUGAAUAAUGAAUAAUGAUCAAGGGGUGCCUCCUCCAGGGGCCAGGGGGUCUGCUUAUAUAGUCCCCUCAAGUGAACCUGGGCCGUCGGAUCAAACCGACAUUGAUUGAACGGUUAUUCUUGAUCCUUUAGGUCGGUGGAGCAUAAUCCGCGAGGUUGAACGUACUUGGCCACAGUAGCAGGGCGGGCGCCCAAGGGGGGAGGGCGGGCGCCCUGCCCCCGAGCCCGCUCGGCCUCCCGUUCGUUCCCGUGGCUUCUGGAGUCUUCUAGAUGGUAGAAAAUUGCGCGGCAUGUUAAUAUCUCUAUGUAAACCCGACGUGUGGGCCUUUCCUCCAUAUUUCCUGAUAACCCCCUGCAGAAAUAGACAAACACCAAAACUCGUGGAAUUCUGUCAGAUAAAACCCUAAGUUUAGAUGUUGGUUGUAUUUGGAUCCUUUUCUUUGUUUAUUUGCUGAUUAUAUUUGGUACUUAAGGACCGUCAACAACUCCCCCAAGCUUACCCCAUGCUCGUCCCUGAGCAAGGAUGGACUCAAGAGUUUUUGCAGUGGUUUUAUGCCUUAAAGGUACUCAUGGAUUCAAACAAGAUCUCAUCUCUAGAUUAAGGUAAACUGUUAAGAUUUAAGCUUACUCAUAUUACCUUCAACCAUGGGGCUUGCAACAGUCACUUGUGUCUUGAGGAGUUAAAAGAUAGAACGGUCAAGUCAAGCACCAUGUCUCUUGUUCUUUGAUCAACUAUAGCUCUGGAGUUUUUGCAGAUUUUCAAAUAAAACUCAGAGAUUCCUUGUAUGACUCUCUCUAGUCUCUCUUUUGUGGUAUUUCUGGAUCCUUACCAAGGCAGUGAUAAUAUACGCCUUCUCUCAAAGUAUGUAGUAUUUGUGGUAUGAGGCAUAGUGAUAUUACCUUCUCUCUCACCCUACUCUAAUAAGGUUUGAUAUCUGGAGCUCAUAGGUGGGAGACAGCUAAUACAUACUUACAAGACAUUUAUUGCAUAGUCAAACCAUGGAUCCAGAGAAACAAGUCAAUAAGUCAAACCAAGAUGUGCAUGUGUGGCGGAUGAAUGGUGUAUGGUGAUGAUGGUGAUAAUGGUGAAAAUAAUGGUGAAAGUCUAAUUCUACUUUUGCUCUUUUGAGGGGAUACAUACCUUUCUUGCACUUUGAAGGUUUUUGAGAGGAAUGAGAUGCUCUAUGUUUUCUUUUUCUUUUCUCUCAGGUGGGUAUCUUGUACCUCUAAUUCUACUGUCGGACACUUGUCCAUUUUUACCUCUCGUCUCACUUUUUCUUUUCUUUCGAGGUUCCGGGCACUUGCCCCUUUUUAUUUCCUCGUAUUUUUUUUCUUUUUUUUAGAGCACUCACCCUCCUAGAAUAAUGUAGCAAGUGGUAGUAACCAAAUUAGCUCGAGCAUUUAUUUCACGGGGAAUAACAGGGAUAGGAUAAUGUUUUUGGCUAUUCUCUCCUAGAUAGGAGUAGAAUAAUUUUAGUUGAAUCUAGAGAUGGAAAGGAGUGGAUGUAUGUGGAUGCGUACUUCCAGAGUAGAAGCAGCAUGUAUGAGUGAACGUGCAAGUGAAUCUUGAUUUUAUCCGCAUGACAAGCUCCUAAGAGUCUACACAGCUUGACCACACUCAAUGCUCAUAAGCAGUAAAAAGUAAAUGUAUGGUUCAUAGUCUCAUAAGCAUGUAUAUGUGGUUGUGGUAGGAUUUUAAACUCUCAUCAUAUAGGAACUCAUCAUGCAAUAUUUUAAAGAUUUUCAAAGAUAAAAUUCUCCAGAAUUCUAGCAUCUCUAGGAACAGAUAAACAACAGCUCAACCUUCCCAUAUCAUAUCUGUUAACGACUUAGACUUUAGAUCAAGUACUCUUCCCACAAGUUCAGGUUUAGAGCAAAUCUUAAUUCAUAACAGUAAUGCCUAAACUUGAGAGAGAUUUCAAUUUUGAGAACUAGUCAUGGCAGAGCAACUAUUCAUCAUUUCCAUGUGAGAGCUUAUCAUGAGAGUUCAUAGCAAACUUUAUUUAUUUAUUUAUUUAGCAAAUUAAGCAUAGAUAUAUAUAUAUAUGUAUAUAUAAGCAUAAAAUCUUUAUUUGGGUUUUUAUGAUUAUGCAUCUUUUUAUUAUUUGAGUAAAGUAUAAACGUGAGUAGAAACACUUAGCUAGAUAAAUGGGGGUGCUCUCCCCCAAGCUGUAUUUUGACGUAAUUUCUUCUGAUGUAGCUAGCAGGUGACGGAGGUUUAUUUGAAUGUCGGCAGCACCCUGACAGCGAUUAGCAUGUCCUCCGUUUGCUAGUCUUCUUUGAUCCUUGAAUACUGUGGAGCUCAAAUAGACAAUAAAGCUUUGUGGAACUAGUUAAGUGUUAGUAUAAAUAUCUAGCCUUUAUCAUAUUGAGCCUCCUUAAUAAAUGUUACUCUAUUUGGUAGGAUCAUAAAUUUUUUUUUAUAUUUUCAUUUUUAUAGGAUAGGAAUGUAUUUAUUUUAUUUUUACGCCACCACAGUGAAUGUACUUAUGGGUUUUAUGCCACGAGCAUACUCACAUGGGGCUUAGUAUUUUUAACAUUUUUUCUUUUCAAGAUAGCAUGAUUAACUAAUAAGCUAUUUAAGGAAAGUAAGUAAUUAAAGGGAAAAGGGAAUGUAGAAAGGACAAAUAUGGAUAACUACCGAUUUUACCUUUCGGCGAGGGUUCAAUGUUUUAAGUCUUCUGAACAAGACAUCUCACCGUGUUCAUUCUUUAGGUGCGUUAUUUGAUUCAGGUGCGGACCUUGACGUCUGCACCUCUUGAUACGGUGUCACCCAUGUUCUUCGUUUGCCCAGCAGUUCGAAGUGCGGCGUUGGCAGCAUCCUGCUCAGUGUGUUUGUGCUCGUAGAACCAGGUCCUUCACUUGGUAGAGUCUGGGAGUUGAAAAACUCCACCAUGUUUUGCUCGAAGUGUACCUGCUCAUAGAGACAAGGCAGAGAUCAAGUGCAUGGGCCCUGUUGGUGGAAAAACACCAACAGAACCAAAAGUGUAUUUGUUCUUCUCUAACCUUAAGCAUAGUGAGCAAGACAAAGUUGAUGGAUGAUAAGUUCAUGAGUGUAACAUUUAAAACAUUUGUCAGAUCAGAUCGCUCAACCUAAUGGAAAGAUAAUCUAUCUAUAUUUAUGUUUUUUUUAUAUAUAUCUUCCAAAGACUGAGUGUGCAACAUUUUAGCUCAUAUGAUUAGAAGUGUGGGAUCACAAAGGUGGAAUGACUAAACAUGUUGAAUCGAUUGGGUUGGUUAAUCUAGAGUUGUAAAUCAUACAUGUUUGUCUCUUUUAUUCAUAUGAACGCCAGAACCAAGGAGAAGCUUAUAAAUGUGAUAGUCAGAUAUCUUAAGAUGUUACCUUACUUGAAGAGUGAUGGUAUAGUAUCACCUUGUGGAAGCUUUCCUUUCGUAGUGGUUGUGUAUCUUGUUUAUGUACUUUGUCUCCUUCCAUGGAUCAUCUCUGUAUGAUGAAUGAGCUAUGUCCUUCUUGUGCAAAUUGUUAAACUUCAUGUGUUACUCUCUUCAUCUCCGAUGUGAGUUUAUCUCAGGACUUCCCAGGUUGAUAGUGAAAGUUUUCCUAUAGGGGUUAGUCCGACAAAAUAUACCAAUAUCUACUCAAGCAGUUUUUAGUUCAGUAACCAAACUAGACUCCAUGUCUAAUCAGAUUAAGGAAGACUAUUUAACCUAAGCACCAUGCUCAAUUUAAAUGCCAAUGGAAGUAUGUCGAGUACUUCCAAACCAACACUUGCUAGAAAAUAGACAAAGGUAGCAUGACAACAUUUAUAGAGAUCUACUCAAGUGGAGAUAGAGUAGUGUGAUUAGUAUUUAACAAAGUGAGCAUGUCUCAAAGGUAGGGACAACCAACAUAGCAACAUGGCAAAGGAUGUUAAGUACCCCCCCAAGCUUGAAUUUUGCAAAAUUUAAGUUUGGAUGAAUUUAAUUCAAUGUUGUAUGAUGAUUGGUUGGACAUACCUUGUGCUUGUCAUUCAUCCGAUCUUCUUGCUCUAAUCCUGGAAAGGUUAGUGACAAGAAUACCCGAAGGAAUAUUUUUACAAUUAUCCUUAUAUGCUUAAUACACAAGGUAAUGUUGCAAAUAAUUAAAAGCUCAUGUUAUGAUAUGAUCAGUGCUUAUUUUAGGACACUAAGCUUGUCCUUGGGAAACCAUCAAUUUAUGUCGGCGAAGUGGUUUCCCUUCCAAUGCUGACCUAUAUCAAGAUCAACUCAACGAGAUCUGCAAUAUUUAUUAUAGACAUAUGCAUCGACAACCGCCCUUUUAAAGUUU